CGAGGGGUAACAGAUCUUCGGAUGCUGACGACCGGCGAACGGGUGAGUAACACGUAUGCAACUUACCCAUAACUCGGGAAUAGCCCAAAGAAAUUUGGAUUAAUACCCAAUAAUACAGGCGUACCGCAUGGUAUUCUUCGUUAAAGAAUAAUCGGUUAUGGAUAGGCAUGCGUUCUAUUAGGUAGUUGGUGGGGUAACGACUCACCAAGCCGACGAUGGAUAGGGGAACUGAGAGGUUGUCCCCCCACACUGGUACUGAGACACGGACCAGACUCCUACGGGAGGCAGCAGUGAGGAAUAUUGGUCAAUGGACGAAAGUCUGAACCAGCCAAAUCGCGUGAAGGAAGAAGGUAUUAUGUAUCGUAAACUUCUUUUGUAAGAGAGUAAAGUGCACUACGUGUAGUGUAUUGCAAGUACCUUACGAAUAAGCAUCGGCUAAUUCCGUGCCAGCAGCCGCGGUAAUACGGAAGAUGCAAGUGUUAUCCGGAUUUAUUGGGUUUAAAGGGUGCGUAGGUGGUCUAAUAAGUCAGUGGUGAAAUCUCUUUGCUUAACAAGGAAAUUGCCAUUGAAACUGUUAGACUUGAGAAUGGACGAGGUAGGCGGAAUUCGUAGUGUAGCGGUGAAAUGCAUAGAUAUUACGAAGAACUCCAAUAGUGUAGACUGCUUACCAGACCAUAUCUGACACUAAGGCACGAAAGUGUGGGUAUCAAACAGGAUUAGAUACCCUGGUAGUCCACACAGUAAACGAUGAAUACUAACUGUUUGCGAUAUACAGCAAGUGGUCGAGCGAAAGCGUUAAGUAUUCCACCUGGGAAGUAUGCCGGCACGGUGAAACUCAAGGAAUUGACGGGGCCGCACAGCGGAGACAUGUGGUUUAUCGAUAUACGCGAGACCUUACCCGGGCUCGACGAUAUUUGAUAC
rnacentral:rRNA from 1 species